CUCUUAUCCGGAGUGGUGGAGGGACUAGCCCUAUGAAACCCGGCAACCAGCUUAAUACACGCUAAGACGAAACUGGCGUGGACAAAGCAUGGUGCUAAUUCUUGCAGGAUUAAUUUCCUGGCAGAUAAGAG
rnacentral:ncRNA from 2 species